GACGAACGCUGGCGGCGUGCCUAAUACAUGCAAGUCGAACGAGAGCGACCGGUGCUUGCACUGGUCAAUCUAGUGGCGAACGGGUGAGUAACACGUGGGUAACCUGCCCAUCAGAGGGGGAUAACAUCCGGAAACGGAUGCUAAAACCGCAUAGGUCUUCGAGCCGCAUGGCUUGAAGAGGAAAAGAAGCGCAAGCUUCUGCUGAUGGAUGGACCCGCGGUGCAUUAGCUAGUUGGUGAGGUAACGGCUCACCAAGGCCGUGAUGCAUAGCCGACCUGAGAGGGUGAUCGGCCACAUUGGGACUGAGACACGGCCCAAACUCCUACGGGAGGCAGCAGUAGGGAAUCUUCCGCAAUGGACGCAAGUCUGACGGAGCAACGCCGCGUGAGUGAAGAAGGUUUUCGGAUCGUAAAACUCUGUUGUUAGAGAAGAACAAGUGCUAGAGUAACUGUUAGCGCCUUGACGGUAUCUAACCAGAAAGCCACGGCUAACUACGUG
rnacentral:rRNA from 1 species